rfam:Dietzia timorensis strain ID05-A0528, complete genome.
GGCGCGGAGUGUCUUGCGGCCUUCGCCCAGGGUGCCCUGGCGUACUUCCCCAACGCCAGGUCCCACUGGGCGGGGACCUCAAGAUACUGCGGACUCAAA